rnacentral:rRNA from 1 species
GGCGUGGAGCCUGCGGCUUAAUUUGACUCAACACGG